UUAACUGAAUCCAAAUAGAGGAUAGCUACUGUUAAUAGCUCCAUUGGGAAUUCCCCAGUUAAU
rnacentral:tRNA from 1 species